rnacentral:rRNA from 1 species
UACGUAGGGUGCGAGCGUUAAUCGGAAUUACUGGGCGUAAAGCGUGCGCAGGCGGUUUUGUAAGCCAGAUGUGAAAUCCCCGGGCUUAACCUGGGAAUGGCAUUUGGGACUGCAAGGCUUGAGUGCGGCAGAGGAGACUGGAAUUCCUGGUGUAGCAGUGAAAUGCGUAGAUAUCAGGAAGAACACCAAUGGCGAAAGCAGCUUUCUGGGACGGUACUGACGCUGAGACGCGAAAGCGUGGGGAGCGAACAGG